AGGGCAUAAUUGGAAUAUAACUUGUUGAAUCCCCUAUAUAUUCUUUAGGUUUGGGAUAUGAUGAGCAGGAUUAGGGUUUUUUGCCUACCGCACUCCGCCUCUGAAUUGGCCCUGUCUAGUUGAUGCUCUCAAAAAACCCUAACUUCUCAAACCUUCCAAAAUGGAGUACAUAAGGAAUGAAAUAAAAUAAAUAAAUAAAUUAAUUACUGUCUUUCUUUCUCUCUCUCUCUCUCUCAAUCCGGUUAUCGAUAUCUAUCUAUAUAUCUAUCUAUGUACCUUUGAUUAUGAGCGCUACGCUUUUCUGUUUCCUUACUUUCACUCUCUCUAGUCUCCGAUCUCAAAGAGGCCGUGACGAUGGUUGCGGAGUGUGGAAUCGAAGGAUCGGUCGCCGUUAAGCAACGUUCGCCGGUGGCGUGGUAACCUAAUCAGUUGCAGCCAUCCAUGGAUGACGUUGCUUUUCUAAGGUUGUUCAGGUUAGGUGGCUUCGCACGUGGUUUGAGCAAAGAGUAGAUUGGCCCCUUAAAAGAUUUCAACUUGCUUGUUUAGACUAUGAAGGCCUGAAGUUUCUUGGAUCCAUAUUCUGUCAUGUAUAUUAUAGGCAUAGACGUUUAUCCUACAUUUUAUGGGCCUAGUUUAGCCUGAUAAUUAGAUGAAAUAACUAGUCCGAUAAUUGUAUUAUUCAAUUUUAAGUUACUACUUACGGAGUAUUUUGUAGAAUUUUUUAUUUUUAAUAUUGGAGUGGUAGUGGUGUUUUUUUAAA